rnacentral:rRNA from 5 species
GAUCAAGUGUCUUAAGGGCAAUUGGUGGAUGCCUUGGCAUGCACAGGCGAUGAAGGACGUGAUACGCUGCGAUAAGCUACGGGGAGGUGCGAAUACCCUUUGAUCCGUAGAUUUCCGAAUGGGGAAACCCACCUAAGGUACUUGGAAAAUCAGAGCAGCCGGAAGGUCGCAAGGCCGACUUGCUGCUGUGGUUUCCAAGUAUCGAUAAUAGGUAACUUAUCCUGAAUACAUAGGGAUAAAGUGGCGAACGCGGGGAACUGAAACAUCUAAGUACCCGUAGGAAAGGACAUCAACCGAGACUCCGGAAGUAGUGGCGAGCGAACCCGGACCAGGCCAGUGGCGAUUGAGAGACAAGCGGAACCUUCUGGAAAGUAGGGCCAUAGUGGGUGACAGCCCCGUACGCGUAAUGCAAUCAAUCGUCCUCGAGUAAGGCGGGACACGUGAAAUCCUGUCUGAAAUUGGGGGGACCACCCUCCAAGCCUAAGUACUCGUGCAUGACCGAUAGCGAACUAGUACCGUGAGGGAAAGGUGAAAAGCACCCCGACAAGGGGAGUGAAAGAGUACCUGAAACCGAUUGCCUACAAACAGUGGAAGCCCAAGGUUCGUCCUGGGUGACCACGUACCUUUUGUAUAAUGGGUCAGCGACUUAGUGUGACGAGCAAGCUUAAACCGCUAGGUGUAGGCGCAGCGAAAGCGAGUCUGAACAGGGCGUUCAGUUCGUCGCAUUAGACCCGAAACCGAGUGAUCUAGCCAUGAGCAGGUUGAAGGUAAGGUAACACUUACUGGAGGACCGAACCCAUAACUGUUGCAAUAGUUCGGGAUGACUUGUGGCUAGGGGUGAAAGGCCAAUCAAACUCGGAAAUAGCUGGUUCUCCGCGAAAUCUAUUUAGGUAGAGCGUCGACCGAAUACCCCAGGGGGUAGAGCACUGGAUGGGCUAGGGGUCCUCACCGGAUUACCAAACCUAACCAAACUCCGAAUACCUGGGAGUACUAGUCGGCAGACACACGGCGGGUGCUAACGUCCGUCGUGAAAAGGGAAACAACCCUGACCUACAGCUAAGGUCCCCAAGUUAUGGCUAAGUGGGAAAGGAUGUGAGGAUCCCAAAACAACCAGGAUGUUGGCUUAGAAGCAGCCAUCAUUUAAAGAAAGCGUAACAGCUCACUGGUCUAAAUAAGGGUCUUUGCGCCGAAAAUGUAACGGGGCUAAAGCCAUACACCGAAGCUUAGGGUUUGGUCCGCAAGGGCCAAGCGGUAGCGGAGCGUUCUGUAAGCUGAUGAAGCCAUACCCGUGAGGGGUGGUGGAGGUAUCAGAAGUGCGAAUGCUGACAUGAGUAACGUAAGGGGAGUGAGAGACUCCCCCGCCGAAAGACCAAGGGUUCCUGCUUAAAGCUAAUCUGAGCAGGGUUAGCCGGCCCCUAAGACGAGGCGGAAACGCGUAGUCGAUGGGAACCACGUUAAUAUUCGUGGGCUUGGAGGUAGUGACGGAUCAUUGAGGUAGUCCAAUCUUAUCGGAUUGAACGGGCUGCUGCGUGGUUCCAGGAAAUAGCUCCUCCUUAUAAACCGUACCCGAAACCGACACUGGUGGUCUGGUAGAGUAUACCAAGGCGCUUGAGAGAACUAUGCUGAAGGAACUCGGCAAAUUGCACGCGUAACUUCGGAAGAAGCGUGACCCUUUUCCACGCAAGUGGAGGAGGGUGGCACAGACCAGGGGGUAGCGACUGUUUAUCAAAAACACAGGGCUCUGCGAAGUCGCAAGACGACGUAUAGGGUCUGACGCCUGCCCGGUGCUGGAAGGUUAAGAGGAGGGGUGCAAGCUCUGAAUCGAAGCCCCAGUAAACGGCGGCCGUAACUAUAACGGUCCUAAGGUAGCGAAAUUCCUUGUCGGGUAAGUUCCGACCUGCACGAAUGGCGUAACGACUUCCCCGCUGUCUCCAGCAUAGACUCAGUGAAAUUGAAUUCCCCGUGAAGAUGCGGGGUUCCUGCGGUUAGACGGAAAGACCCCGUGCACCUUUACUAUAGCUUUACAUUGGCAUUCGUAGUGGCAUGUGUAGGAUAGGUGGUAGGCUUUGAAACCUGGGCGCCAGCUCAGGUGGAGCCACCCUUGAAAUACCACCCUUAUUACUAUGGAUGUCUAACCGCGGCCCGUUAUCCGGGUCCGGGACAAUGUAUGGUGGGUAGUUUGACUGGGGCGGUCGCCUCCUAAAGAGUAACGGAGGCGCGCGAUGGUGGGCUCAGAACGGUCGGAAAUCGUUCGCUGAGUGCAAUGGCAUAAGCCUGCCUGACUGCGAGACUGACAAGUCGAGCAGAGACGAAAGUCGGUCAUAGUGAUCCGGUGGUCCCGCGUGGAAGGGCCAUCGCUCAACGGAUAAAAGGUACGCCGGGGAUAACAGGCUGAUGACCCCCAAGAGUCCAUAUCGACGGGGUUGUUUGGCACCUCGAUGUCGACUCAUCGCAUCCUGGGGCUGGAGCAGGUCCCAAGGGUAUGGCUGUUCGCCAUUUAAAGCGGUACGUGAGUUGGGUUCAGAACGUCGUGAGACAGUUCGGUCCCUAUCUGCCGUGGGUGUAGGAAUAUUGAAAGGAUCUGUCCCUAGUACGAGAGGACCGGGAUGGACGGAUCUCUGGUGGACCUGUUGUGGCGCCAGCCGCAUAGCAGGGUAGCUAUAUCCGGACGGGAUAACCGCUGAAGGCAUCUAAGCGGGAAACCCACCUUAAAACGAGUAUUCCCUGAGAACCGUGGAAGACGACCACGUUGAUAGGCCGGGUGUGGAAGAGCGGCAACGCUUGAAGCUUACCGGUACUAAUAGUUCGAUCGGCUUGAUCGUUCUCAUU